UUUAAUCCCAUAAGUACUACUGUUUUCUUACGUUUAGGUUUUUGAAUAUAAUCUUCCAUUGUAAAGGAUCUGGGAGAAUUUGGGCAAGCUUUGUGGGGGUUUUCUUUACAACUAUAAUCUUCUAUUAUUAUCUUUUAAAAUUCCAUGUUUUGUUAAUUGUGUGAUUUAUUAUGAAUGAUUAUUAUACUCCUAAGAAACAUCCUCUUCCUUGCCGUUGUUAAAGUACUCCUCUGUAUUAUAUUAGGAUGAAGCUAAAAUUGUGUCAUUUCAUAUGGAAAUUUGGAAAAUUGGAAAUUUGUUUCACUAAAUUGUCAUCUUUUGCAGGAUCUACUUUUAUCAGUUCCUUUUGAUUUGCUAUGGAAGCUAUGACAAGAAGACAUUCACAUACUUCGCGUUCAGCCUUGGAUAAGAUCAUGGAUUCGUGAUACUUUUCUUUUUAUGGCAUGUCUUGCUACAGUUGGAGUUUUUGUGUUUUUGCAUCAGGAACAUACAAAAUUAUAGAGUUCAUCUUAGGGAGGUUGAGGAAUUUCGGACAACAACUUGAUUUGCCAUAAGGAAGUUGAGUCUUGAUAAAUCAAAUUUCUUCAUUUCUUUUGGCUUUUUCUAGGUAUGCAAAUUGAACUAUGAACUUAUUUUUCUGUAAUGUGGCUAGGCAAAAUAGUUUUCUUCAUA